CCCUUAGAUGUUCUGGGCCGCACGCGCGCUACACUGAUGCAUUCAACGAGCCUAUCCUUGACCGACAGGUCCGGGUAAUCUUUGAAUCUGCAUCGUGACGGGGUUAGAUUAUUGCAAUUAUUAAUCUUCAACGAGGAAUGCCUAGUAGGCGCAAGUCAUCAGCUUGCGUCGAUUACGUCCCUGCCCUUUGUACACACCGCCCGUCGCUCCUACCGAUUGGGUGUGCUGGUGAAAUGUUCGGAUCGGCCGUUUGUCGCGGUUUCCGCGGCUCGUGGCUGAGAAGUUCAUUAAACCCUCCCACCUAGAGGAAGGAGAAGUCGUAACA
rnacentral:rRNA from 1 species